GCUUGGGUGGCUCAGUCGGUUGAGCGUCUGACUUCUGCUCAGGUCAUGAUCUCACAGUUUGUGAGUUCAAGCCUUACAUCAGGCU
rnacentral:tRNA from 1 species